AACGAACGCUGGCGGCAUGCUUUACACAUGCAAGUUGAACGGAUAUAUUUUAGGGCUUGCUCUGAAUAAAUUAGUAGCAAACGGGUGAGUAACACGUGGGAAUCUUCCCAUCAGUAUGGAAUAACAUUUAGAAAUAAGUGCUAAUACCGUAUAUUCUCUUCGGAGGAAAGAUUUAUCGCUGAUGGAUGAGCCCGCGUCAGAUUAGGUAGUUGGUAGGGUAAUAGCCUACCAAGCCAACGAUCUGUAGCUGGUCUGAGAGGAUGAUCAGCGCACACUGGGACUGAGACACGGCCCAGACUCCUACGGGAGGCAGCAGUGGGGAAUAUUGGACAAUGGGCGAAAGCCUGAUCCAGCAAUGCCGCGUGAAUGAUGAAGGCCUUAGGGUUGUAAAGUUCUUUUAGUAGGGAAGAUAAUGACGGUACCUACAGAAAAAGCCCCGGCUAACUCCGUGCCAGCAGCCGCCGUAA
rnacentral:rRNA from 1 species